UUCUUGUUAUUGAAAUUUUUAAUAAAUUCCAUGUUUAUUCUGUACUGAAAUGUUCUGUGCUGCGCACAACACUUUCUAUUACAAAGAAAAUAGUAUAUUUUCAAUAGAAUGUACUGUGCCGCGCACAACACUAUCUAACCAAAAUAUAUUGUAUGGAAAGUGUUAUUAACCGCUCAAAAGAUUAUAAUACCAAAUAAACAUGGAAUUUAUUAAAAAAAUUAAACACAAGAAAUUAUGCAAA
rnacentral:lncRNA from 1 species